UGUAGUGUUGGGGGAUGUCUAUAGGUGUUUUUUAGAGAGGAGGGUGGACUUAAUGUUAGUGUAUUUAAGGUGGGGCUAUUGAUUGUUUUUUGAGAAGACACGCUAGCAGAUGAGCUCUGAACGGAGAAGUUGGAGAGCGUCCAAAGUUAGAGAGCGUCAAAAAGUUGUUUCGAGAUGGUUAAAGAUAUAACUGUGUUUGCUGACGUGCACGCAGUAUUUGACGACGACUUUAGCGGAGUUUAUUUAACACAAUCAGACUACGAUCUCGUGGCGGCUGCUACUAGGCUAAAAAAUCCACUGAUACAGACUGGUUUGGAGGCAGAACCAUCAGAGCAGCGUGAUUUCGGUCAAAUCAUACCCCCUUCCGGCCGACAGGAGGUUGUCACGAGCUCUACACGUCAUUUUGAAGCAACGAAAACAGCAGAGUUAUCAGAGCUACGUGAUAGCAGUCAAAUCACACACCCCUCCGGCCAGCAGACGGCUGUCACGAGCAUAGAGACGGAAGAGGAAGCAUCCACAGACA